CAAGAAAUAGUUUAUAUAAAAUAUUAAUUUUGGAGAUUAAUGAAACUUAUUUAGUUUUCUUGA
rnacentral:tRNA from 1 species